CCUACGGGUGGCAGCAGUGGGGAAUAUUGGGCAAUGGGCGCAAGCCUGACCCAGCAACGCCGCGUGAAGGAAGAAGGCUUUCGGGUUGUAAACUUCUUUUGUCAGGGACGAAGCAAGUGACGGUACCUGACGCAUAAGCCACGGCUAACUACGUGCCAGCAGCCGCGGUAAUACGUAGGUGGCAAGCGUUAUCCGGAUUUACUGGGUGUAAAGUGCGUGUAGGCGGGACUGCAAGUCAGAUGUGAAAACCACGGGCUCAACCUGUGGCCUGCAUUUGAAACUGUAGUUCUUGAGGACUGGAGAGGCAGACGGAAUUCCUAGUGUAGCGGUGAAAUGCGUAGAUAUUAGGAGGAACACCAGUGGCGAAGGCGGUCUGCUGGACAGCAACUGACGCUGAGGCGCGAAAGCGUGGGGAGCAAACAGGAUUAGAUACCCCAGUGGUC
rnacentral:rRNA from 1 species